rnacentral:rRNA from 1 species
GACGAACGCUGGCGGCGUGCUUAACACAUGCAAGUCGAACGAAGUGGCGAACGGGUGAGUAACGCGUAAUCAACCUGCCCUUAAGAGGGGGACGACAGGUGGAAACGACUGCUAAUAACGCAUACUGAAGGAGGGGAUUGCGUCUGAUUAGCUAGUUGGAGGGGUAACGGCCCAACAAGGCGAUGAUCAGUAGCCGGUCUGAGAGGAGUAACGGACACAUUUGGACUUAGACACGGCCCAGACUACUACGGGAGGCAGCAGUGGGUAAUCUUCCGCAAUUGACGAAAGUCUGACGGAGCAACGCCGCGUGAGUGAUGACGGCCUUCGGGUUGUAAAGCUCUGUUAAUCGGGACGCGGUACCGGAAUAGAAAGCCACGGCUAACUACGUGCCAGCCGCCGCGGUAAUAC